rnacentral:rRNA from 1 species
UACGUAGGGUGCAAGCGUUGUCCGGAAUUAUUGGGCGUAAAGAGCUCGUAGGCGGUCUGUCACGUCGGCUGUGAAAACCGGAGACUCAACCUCCGGCCUGCAGUCGAUACGGGCAGACUAGAGUUCGGUAGGGGAGACUGGAAUUCCUGGUGUAGCGGUGAAAUGCGCAGAUAUCAGGAGGAACACCGGUGGCGAAGGCGGGUCUCUGGGCCGAAACUGACGCUGAGGAGCGAAAGCAUGGGGAGCAAACAGG